rnacentral:rRNA from 1 species
UACAGAGGGUGCGAGCGUUAAUCGGAAUUACUGGGCGUAAAGCGCACGUAGGCGGCUUGGUAUGUCGGGUGUGAAAUCCCCGGGCUCAACCUGGGAACUGCAUCCGAAACUGCCUUGCUAGAGUAUGGAAGAGGGUCGCGGAAUUCUCGGUGUAGAGGUGAAAUUCGUAGAUAUCGGAAGGAACAUCAGUGGCGAAAGCGACUUCCUGGACCAAUACUGACGCUCAUGUGCGAAAGCGUGGGGAGCAAACAGG